UACGUAGGGGCGAGCGUUGUCCGGAUUUAUUGGGCGUAAAGAGCUCGUAGGCGGUUUGGCAAGUCGGGUGUGAAAACUCCGGCUCAACUCGGAGACGCCACUCGAUACUGCCAUGACUCGAGUCCGGUAGGGGAGUGGCGGAAUUCCUGGUGUAGCGGUGAAAUGCGCAGAUAUCAGGAGGAACACCGGUGGCGAAGGCGGCACUCUGGGCCGGUACUGACGCUGAGGAGCGAAAGCGUGGGGAGCGAACAGG
rnacentral:rRNA from 1 species